rnacentral:SRP_RNA from 1 species
UCAUACUAGACGGGGAAGUAGCGGUGCCUUGAACCUGAAAUCCGCUAUAGCAGGGUUGAAAUCCUGGGACAAGGCCUUCCUUUGUGUAGUCUGCGCUGUCAUUCUCUGUGUUGAAGAAUGGGUCUUACGCAACUUGAGGCUGUGAACCAUGUCAGGUUGGGAACAAAGCAGCAUUAAGCGGUUUAUCGGGUGUGCCGUAGGGGUGCCUGUUUGGAGCAGAGGUGGCUGUUAACGUAUGUAGAGGUUGGUCGACUUUCGGGUGUAUGG